rnacentral:rRNA from 1 species
UGAGAGUUUGAUCCUGGCUCAGGAUGAACGUUGGCGGCGUGCCUUAAGCAUGCAAAUCGAGCGAGAUGUACCGCAAGGUACGUCUAGCGGUGGACGGGUGAGUAAUGCGUGGGAAUCUACCUCGAAGUUGGACAUAGCCCCGCGAAAGCGGGGGUAAUUUCCAAUGUGAAUGUAAAUUUAAAGAUGCAAAUCGCUUCGAGAUGAGCCUGCGUCCUAUCAGCUAGUUGGUGGGGUAAUAGCCUACCAAGGCGACGACGGGUAGCUGGUCUGAGAGGAUGGUCAGCCACAAUGGAACUGCGACACGGUCCAUACACCUACGGGUGGCAGCAACUAGGAAUAUUGGGCAAUGGGCGAAAGCCUGACCCAGCGACGCCGCGUGGAGGAUUGAAGGCCCUCGGGUUGUAAACUCCUUUUGUCUGGGAAGAUUAUGACGGUACCAGAAGAAUAAGCACCUGCUAACUACGUGCCAGAAGCCUCGGUAAUACGUAGGGUGCAAACGUUAUCCGGAAUCAUUGGGCGUAAAGAGUUGCGUAGGCGUCCUGUGAAGUCCUCGUUGAAAUCCUAAGGCUCAACUUUAGGUUUGGCGAGGAAACUCAUGGGAUUGAUGGUAUGAGGGGGUGUUGGAACCGAUUGUGGAGCGGUGAAAUGCGUUGAUCCAAUCGGGAACACCGAAGGCGUAGGCAGACACCUAGCAUAUCCAUGACGCUUAGGCACGAAAGCUUGGGGAGCGAAGCAGAUUAGAGACCUGCGUAGUCCAAGCUGUAAACGAUGUCCGCUAGUUAUCCGUUCAUGAUUUAUCGUGAGUGGGUGACGAAGCUAACGCGUUAAGCGGAUCGCCUGGGGAGUACGAACGCAAGUUUAAAACUCAAAGGAAUUGACGGGGAGGCGCACAAGCAGUGGAGCGUGUGGUUUAAUUCGAUUCCAAGCGAAGAACCUCACCAGGACUUGACAUGUAGCUGCAAGCUCCGGAAACGGAGUCGCUUUUGAAGGUGCUACACAGAUGCUGCAUGGCUGUCGUCAGCUCGUGGCGUGAGCUGUUUCCUUAAGUGGAUCAACGAGCGCAACCCCCACCGUAUGUUAAAUUGUUCAUACGGAACUGCCCCGCAUUUGCGGGGAGGAAGGCGGGGAUGACGUCAAGUCAGCACGGCUCUUACGUCCUGGGCUACACACACCCUACAAUGGCGAAAAACAACGAGUUGCAAGCCGGUAACGGCAAGCUAAUCUCUCAAAUUUCGCCCCAGUUCAGAUCGAGGUCUGAAAUUCGACCUCGUGAAGGAGGAAUUGCUAGUAAUCGCGAAUCAGCAGGUCGCGGUGAAUACGUUCUCGCCUCUUGUACAAAUUAAAUGCGCUUGGCAGUUUAGAAAACUAGAUGGUGUAAAUCCAUUAUCCGCGCAAGCGGUUUAGCUGCGGACAGUCCUGAGGGGUAACCCGAAGGAUGAAGGGUCCAAAAUGCAAAAAACAGCCCUCUUAGAAAAAAGUUGAUGACGAUCUAUCCGUGUACGAUAGAGAAGUUAUCUUUAAGAACUUGAGGAAUGUUGGAAAGAGUUUUUUAAAUGACCCAAGGAGAUCCUAUGCGCAUCAGAACUAUAAUCGGCCAUAGGAAGUCAGCUGAGUCCAUAGUAGGUAAUUAAUCCUGAGUGAAAUCGAAGGAUUGACAAAGUAUAUAGACACUGGAUAUAGUGGAUAUACCCAAAUAUUUACCGAAGGGAUGAACUUUAUGCUAAAUCCUCAUUAUGUAACGGGAUUUGUGGAUGGUGAAGGAUGCUUCUCAGUGUCCAUUAGCCGGAAACGGUUCCGAGUGCCUGAGGUAAGACUCAGAUUUGAAAUUGAGCUUAGAGAAGAUGAUGAACCGAUCUUACAAGAGAUUCAAAAACUCUUGGAAUGUGGAUCCAUUUAUCGCUUAGAAUAUGAGCGGUAUAAAAAAUGGAGACCGCAUGUAAAAUUUAUGGUUGGUUCAUAUCGGGAUAUUAAAAGUAAGAUCAUACCUUUCUUUAAAAAAUAUCCUCUCCAAGCUAAGAAGAAAAAACAAUUUGAGUUUUUCUGUCGGGUAGCAGGAAUGAUAGAGAAUGAGGAGCAUAAAACUCAUGAAGGAAUAGAAAAGAUUCGUUCCUUAAGAGGAUUAUUAAGGCAUAAGAUCGAAAUCAGAUGAUUUCGUCUUGAGCUAAAGCAUAAAGACUCGCUGGAUGCGGUAGACCCGCACGUCCAGUGGGGAGUGGAAUAGUUCUUAACCACGAUCACCGCCCGUCAAGGCAGCAAAGUUGGGGGCGCCCGAACCUCGUCGCAAGGCGGGGGAAGGUGAAACCAGCGAUGAAGCUUAAGUCGUCCGGACAAUAAGUCCAUGCGACCUGGUAGAGUAAUUUACCAGAAAAAUCCGACUGAAAUCGGUGAAGUCCUAUCUUGACUUCGGGUAACUUUCGGGUUACUCUGAAGAUAAGAGGAUAAUACCGAGGGAAGUCCGACGUAACGUCGGACCCCGUAGAGACUGAUAUGGAAGGUACCAGACAAUCUGGAGAACAAACUUCCAUUAUACGUCGGCACCUCCGAAAUUUCGGAGGAUGAAGAUAUAGUCCAUGCCCUCAGUAAUGAGUGGAGAAACAUGAACAAGGUAUCCCUAGCCGAAGCUGGGGAUGGAUCACCUCCUU